AUGUAUAGCCACCCCAGUAGUAGAAGCGCGCGCGAUAAGGUUUUCCAGCGCGCGUCCUCACAACAACUCUACCAUGCGCCUUGCCACUUCUCACCAUCAGAUCUUCAAAGAUCUGAUUCAACACCCAGGAAUAUGCAAGCCCAUAACAUGCUCCUUUCAGCCACCACACUGGAUCCAGCGCUGGAGCCUCAGUGGGCCUGA